UCUGACUGUCAGUACUUCUUUAUUUGUUGUGUUGCAACUGCCACUGUCACUUCUUAGGGAGGUUAGUGUGCUUUGUCAGUACAAGGACAACUACAUCAAAGCAGAAGUGGUGACGAGACACGGCCGUUGCCAUGGAGACAACCUCAAAGAGUUCUGAUCCAGAAACAAAGUUCACAGGAGAAGGAGAGGGGUGAGGAGGGGCCAAGCAUCUGUCUGCAUAACAUCCAGGAGAAGUGGAGAGAUAUCAGCCUUCCAAGGCCGAAGUGGGGGAGCCGAAUGAAAAUAAAGAAAACUGUUUUGGGUCAAGCUGACUCUGCAAUUUACCGUCA